rnacentral:rRNA from 1 species
AAUAUUUCGCACUGGAGGGAACUCCGACGCAGCGACGCCGCGUGAGCGAUGAAGGACUUCGGAGCGUAAAGCUCUGUCUUUAGGGAGGAAGGUCUUUGGCCUUGACGGUAGCUAAGGAGGAAGCCCCCGCCAACUACGUGCCAGCAGCCGCGGUAAUACGUAGGGGGCAAGCGUUGUCCGGAAUUAUUGGGCGUAAAGGGUGCGUAGGCGGCGUUUUAAGUCAGGUGUGAAAGCCCACGGCUUAACCGUGGGACUGCAUUUGAAACUGGAGGGCUUGAGUAUCGGAGAGGAUAGUGGAAUUCCCAGUGUAGCGGUGGAAUGCGUAGAUAUUGGGAGGAACACCAGUGGCGAAGGCGACUACCUGGACGAAAACUGACGCUGAGGCACGAAAGCUAGGGGAGCAAACA